UUAUGUCAUUUGCUUUUGGAAAGCUCCUUUAUUCAGGAGGCGGUGAUGAUUAGGCCUUGUGGGGAACACUCUUUCCUUCUCUCCUCCUCCCUCUCUUUUAUGUUCUCCAAACAUGAACAGGUUCGGCACACUCUAGUGACAAGACACAGAAAAAACUAUACUCACAGUAGGACACGUAGGAGAGAGAACGAGAGCGUGUGAGAGGAAAGAAAGAAAGACAGAGAGCAGUGGGACUCGUGUAACACCAACUAUUGAAGCACCUAGCUCCAGAGAUGUGGCGCCGCAUGGCCCCCAGGGUUCUUUAACUGCGGCGUGAAGAGCUCUCUAAUGGAACGUGCCGGGGAAUGAUUUAAUGCCCAGACAAACAGAGAACGUCAACACAAACACACUACAAAAUAUGGUUAUGCAGAUAAGAAGAACUGCUUGCAGGGCAUUUGUGCAGGAGUACUGUCUGGAAGGGAAGGUGACUGCAGCCUGGAUAAAGAAAAAAUUGGGGAACCUCAAACAAAAGCAUA